rnacentral:rRNA from 1 species
GACGAACGCUGGCGGCGUGCUUAACACAUGCAAGUCGAGCGGUAAGGCCCUUUCGGGGGUACACGAGCGGCGAACGGGUGAGUAACACGUGGGUGACCUGCCCUCAGCUCUGGGAUAAGCCUGGGAAACCGGGUCUAAUACCGGAUAUGACUCCAUGACGCAUGUUGUGGGGUGGAAAGCCUUGUGCGGCUGAGGAUGGGCCCGCGGCCUAUCAGCUUGUUGGUGGGGUGANGGCCUACCAAGGCGACGACGGGUAGCCGGCCUGAGAGGAUGAUCAGCCACACUGGAACUGAGACACGGUCCAGACUCCUACGGGAGGCAGCAGUGGGGAAUUUUGGACAAUGGGGGCAACCCUGAUCCAGCCAUUCCGCGUGAGUGAAGAAGGCCU